rnacentral:piRNA from 1 species
UCCAGACUGGGUAGCCAGGCAGAGGGGCUCC